UUACGGCCACACCACGUUGAAACGACGGUUCCUGUACGAUCACUGAAGUUAAGCAACGUCGAGCCUGGUCAGUACCUGGAUGGGUGACCGCUUGAGAAUACCAGGUGCUGUAA